UACGAAGGGGGCUAGCGUUGUUCGGAAUUACUGGGCGUAAAGCGCACGUAGGCGGACUAUUAAGUCAGGGGUGAAAUCCCGGGGCUCAACCCCGGAACUGCCUUUGAUACUGGUAGUCUCGAGUCCGGAAGAGGUGAGUGGAAUUCCGAGUGUAGUGGUGAAAUUCGUAGAUAUUCGGAGGAACACCAGUGGCGAAGGCGGCUCACUGGUCCGGUACUGACGCUGAGGUGCGAAAGCGUGGGGAGCAAACAGG
rnacentral:rRNA from 1 species